GAUGAACGCUGACGGCAUGCUUAACACAUCAGCAAUUGAUUGGUGGCGGACGGGUGAGUAACGCGUAAAGAACUUACCUCCCAUUUAGUGUCAACAUGUGGAAACGAAUGCUAAUACCUAAUACUGUGAGAGAGCUUUGCGUCCCAUUCGCUAGUUGUAGAGGUAACGGCUCACCAAGGCGAGGAUGGGUAGCCGGCCUGAGAGGGUGAUCGGCCACAAGGGGACUGUGACACGGCCCUUACUCCUACGGGAGGCAGCAGUAGGGAAUAUUGGACAAUGAACCAAAGUCUGAUCCAGCAAAUCUGUGUGCACGAUGUAGAUUUCGGAAUGUAAAGUGCUUUCAGUUGGGAAGCGGUACCAACAGAAGAAGUGACGGCUAAAUACGUGCCAGCAGCCGCGGUAAUAC
rnacentral:rRNA from 1 species